UUAUGAAUUCAAUGAACACACAUUAUUUUAACGUUCUAUGUGCAACUAUUUGUCGGGGCGCCCCUGUUUGUAACCCCCGCGCGCGCGCCGAAUGUAAACAGUAACGAACGGCAUUGUAGAAAAGAGAGAGCCGUAAUGCAGAAGAGAAGUUGUGUAUUCUUUCGAUGUACAAAUGCAUUUUCAAUUUACUGUGAAACAUAUGAACAUGCACAGGGAACAAUACUACAUAUUUGUUUAAGGAGGAUAUUUUUCUCGUGUGAAUCGUUUACGAGGAAAUUCUGACAGCCACACUUCUGUCGACGAUCAGCCGUUGAUAAGCUACGAGUAAUAAAGGAGAAAAGAUGGACAUUAAAGUGUGUGAUUUAUGUGGAUGUUACUGAAGAAGCUCAAAACAGACUCUUGUUACCACAUGGCUUUUACCGGUACCUGUUGAUUCUUGUGGGUCAGCUCCUGAGAUUAACCUGUCACCUCUAUCAACAUGCAUAUUCCUUGUGUUCUACAGACUAUUUACCGGUAAUUCAAAUUAAAUCCGAUAAUGCAUGAACAAUAAUGGAACUUGAAGAAAGCAUCAUGCCAUGUUGUGGUUUGUGUUUGAUAAGAAAUUAUGAAAACAAAAUUAAGGCUGUUUAUAAAGAAAUUCAUAAUUGCUGUGAAAAUUUGUUUUUCAAUAAAAGUAUGCAAUUAU